CCACUAAGAAUGAAAGUGAAGCUGCUACAGUUCCUUAAGAACCACUGGUUGAAGCCAGAAAUGGGCAGUCUGCAGUGUCCAUUGUAGGUGCUUGGCGAGCAGGAGAUUGCCUUUUUUGCUUUUCUGGAGCAGGACAUUUACAGCAAAGAUCUAAACAUGUUAAAGACUCCAGUGAAAGUUCAGAAAGUCACUUCAGGGCACACCUUCGGUGCUGAUGAACAACUGCUGAGUGAAGUGAAGAAGAGGAUACCACUGACAAUCACAGAAUGGCUGCAAAGCUUGAUCAUCGUUUUCUGCCCAGUCACUUCUCGGGUUGGAUCAGAUGUGGAAGCAGCUAUGAGUCGGGUGCCAGCAGGAGAUCAAAAAGUCAUUCUGGUUGUGAUGCACCACGUCCGAGAUGAGAACUACUCCACAGCUGGGACCCAGUGGUCUGAAACGUUUCCUAAUGUCAUCUUGGAUGUUCAUGUUCUCUUCCAUGAGACUGUGCAAGGAUUACUAUCUUGUGCUAAAAAUGGGGAGGCGGUCAAUCAAAUAGUUUAUACAUUACUUCAACUGUCACCGGAUCAACAGAUAAUAAACAGUCAGACACAAGGGUUACUAAGAUGUCGUGACGAGCCUUCAGGGAUAUGUUUUCCCUAUUGGAAGAUUGUUCUUGCAUUUAUUGUGGUUGUGUUUAUCAUACUCCUUAUCAUUUUCUUGUCAUAGUGGAGAUCAACACAUGGAAAGUUAAAAAAGGAUAUGUUUCAUGUAUAAGACGUUCACUGUGUUCUCAAUAAAACUCAAAAUGCAUUGUAUUUAAAAAAUUACACCAAUUUUUUCUUAAAGUAGACCAUGUAACAAAUACUGUUGAAAACAGAUAACAUAAAUAAAAAUGGUUAAUUUAUGGCAUUGUUAUUG